rnacentral:rRNA from 1 species
UACGUAGGAGGCAAGCGUUGUCCGGAAUUACUGGGCGUAAAGCGCGUGUAGGUGGUGGGACAAGUCUGCUGUGAAAGCGCCUGGCUUAACCGGGCGAGGUCGGCGGAAACUGUCCGACUCGAGGACGGUAGAGGGGGUGGAAUUCCCGGUGUAGUGGUGAAAUGCGUAGAUAUCGGGAGGAACACCAGUGGCGAAGGCGACUUCCUGGCCCGUUCUUGACGCUGAGGCGCGAAAGCUAGGGGAGCAAACGGG